CUUCCUUCCUUCCUUCCUUCCUUCUUUCCUUUCUUCUUUUCUUUUCUUCUCUCCCUCCCUUCCCCUCUCUCUUCCCUUCCCUUCCUUCUCUCUCCCCUUCCCUUCCCUCUCUCUCCCCUUCCCUCUCCCUCUCCCUCUCCCUUCCCUUCCCUUUCUUUCUUGACAGGGUCUCACUCCAUCACCCAGGCUGGAAUGCAGUGGCUCAAUCAACACACCACAGCCUCGGCCUCCCUGGGCUCAGAAAGUCACAAAUCACUACAUAAGGACCUGCUGUAACCAGUCUGACCUCAUCUUGAUUACAGCUGCAAAGACCCUAUUUCCAAAUAGAGCCACAUUCUGAGGAUCCAGGGUGACAAAUUUUGGGAGGAUAAUAUUCCAUCUGGCACAGAAGGGAAAAGGGAAGUUUUUGUCUGAAGAAGGGGCUUGUCUGGAGGUGAGAGGGGCUUCAAAAUCUGUGCAUGCCCCUUUGUGGGUACUUCCUUAAGAUAGCAAAGCUCACGGCAGCUUCUGUUCUUUCCAACAAAUAGGCCUCUAUGGGGCCCAUAUAAGAAUGAAGGCAUUUCCUCUAACCCAGCAACUCUACUCCUAGGAAUAUCCCCAUUAGAAAUAUGUCCUUAUGGCCAUUGGAAGACAUAUACUAGAAUGUUCUCAGCAGAAUUAUUUCUCUUGGCUGAAAACUGGAAAUGCUUAUCUUGGCAGAUUGCAAAAAUAGUCACAGUUCUGUGCAGCCCAUCCCAUUAGGAGGCAGAGUCUACUUCUUCUCCCUUGAAUCUACGUUGGUCACGUGAUUUGCUGUGGCCAAUAGAAUGUGGUGGAAGCAACAUGUGCCAGUACCAAGCCUAGGUUUUAAGAGGCCUUUUGCUCUCUUGGAACUUGCAGUUGCUGUGUGAAAAGUCCAGGCUAGCCUGCUGGAGGAUGAGUGAUGGGUGAAGCAGAGAUGAAUUUUCAGAGCUGGCUUCAUCUGAGACCAGCCAGCCCUAGCUGUGGAAGGCAGACACUUAGCAAACCCAGCCAAGAUCAGCCAAGCCCAUCCCAGGGCAGAAGAACCACCAAGCUGAUCCCAGUCCACAUCUACUUCUGGAAGCACGUGCUAAAUAAAUGGUUGCUGUUUUAAGCCACUGAGCUAUGGGAGGCUUUGUUUCCCAGCAAUAACUAAUUGAUAAAUCAUCAACAGUAAAAUGGAUAAAUGAAUUGUGGUACAGGCACACGUGGAAUGAAAAACAUUAAGGAGAAUAAAUAAACUACUGCUACACAAGACAACAUGGAUGAACCUCACCAAUACUAAGCCGGGUGAAGGAAGCUCAGCAGGCAGAGUGCAUCCUACAAGAUGCCUUUUAUAGAAAAAGUACAAGAAUAGGUGAGAGUAAUCUAUGGAGAGAUAAGUUAGGGUAGUGGUUACCUUUGAGGGGGGACUAAAUAGGAGGGGGUUAGCUACUGGGGUGUGUUCACUUGGUGACCAUUUGUUGGGCUGUAUACUUAACAUAUGUGCAUUUUUGUGCAUGUAGUUUAUACUUUGGUAAAAAGAUUUAAAAAUAUCAGGUCUCUUGUUUCUUUUCUAGUUGCUGGAGAGCCAGUGGGAUUGCAUCUUUUGCAGAGGACAGGUCCUUAAGGGCAAAAUCGCUUAAGAGUCAAAAUGGCCUUGAAAAUUCCUUGGGAAGCCGUCAUGUUGGAGCCAACCACUAUUUCUCAAUAAUUUCAGCACAGCCAGUUUUUCCUCCUGCGUUGGGACGGAUCGCUGUUUCUCCUGUCAAGCUCCAGAUACAGUAAAGUCUUGUGUUUAGGGGCCACACAGUGGAGUGGGACACUCACAGGCAGAGGGAGGAACCAGGUGCUCCUACUCAGAGACACGUGGGACCCAACGGGAGGGUUUGGCUUGGAAGAGACACCUUCAAAGUGAGUGGUGUGGGGAUUUCCCCAUCAUAUAAUGUCCCCUUUGGGGUGUGAGGGGCAAAUGUGUUUAGUUAAGUGGAUCUUAACUCAGUUAAAUUAAAUUCAUGUAUGAUGUGAGACCAGCGUGGAAAGGUCUUACCUCUUGAUUAACCAAUUGUUCUUCCCCAGUCACUCCAUUGCUCCUCUUUGAGCCAUCCAAAAAGUCACCUCAUCUUUCCAGACCUCAGGGUCCUCAUCUGUAAAUUGGGGGGCAUGUGGACUUGGACAGAAUGGGCCCUCUCUGUCACUUGGAGAGUCUGGGAUUGUAAGCUGCCCUCCGGGAGAUCAAAACACCACACGAUGCAGGUGGUAAGGGCUGCCAUCAACUCUCGGGGUGACCCAGGUCAAUGGUCCCUUCUCUGGCUGCCCUCCCCAUCUGUGCAAUGGGGGUUUUGUCCCAUGGUUCUCUUUUUGCAGGCACUGGACAGACGCGGGACACAGGGGCUCUGCUAAGGUCCCUGGUGCUACAGAAGAGGACGGUGAUCACCAGGCCCAGGAAGGAGGGUUGCUGGGAAUGAAGAUCGCAGCCACGCUGCACGAUGCAAGGCUAAGGUGCACGCAGUGCGCUGUGGCUUCAGGUCCCGAAAGCACAGGCCUGGGACAGCUUUUCCAGAUGGCAAGUCUGCUUUCUCCCAGCCCCAACAUGCCUUUCUGAAAUGUAAAGCAGCCCAGUCCUGGCCUCAGAAUGCUGGGGUGAACAACUGGAGAACGGGGUUCCAGCCACUGCAGAUGAAUCCAGAGGCACUAGAAACACAGAGAGAGCAAGAAGGAAAGGGAGGGGACACGAGG
rnacentral:lncRNA from 1 species